GCCAAAUAUAUUGCAUCACCAGUGAUCGUGGAAACAGGUUGAAACAUUAGGAACAAAUAUCGGAAUUCAUUUUACAGCAAAUGUUUUGUUAAAGAAUAACCAGUUAUGUCAUCGACGUUAGACGGACAACUUUGAGAAAUCAUGGGACUCGGUUAUCGUUUACUAGUUCCCAUAGUUAUUCUUUUGUCGGUUUUCUUGGCGUUAACAUGCGCCAGGCGAGGUAACUUUUGUCAAAGUGUAGGCUGGAUUGGUUGUGUGAAUGUUGGGUGCGGAGACGAGGGAGAGGGGGAAUGUAUCAAUCUUGGAUAUCCGCCGCAUAACAACUGUGUCUGUGUUAUACGAUUUCGGCGAUAGCAGUACGUAUUGGUCUUGGAUUAAACGCGGAAUGUAUUGAACUGAUCAUUUGCAAAAAACGGUGUAAUCAUUAAAUUUACGAGGACAAGGGUGAACUCAAAGUAUUCAAUCUCGUACGUAUGGACGUGGGAUACAUAUCCGUAAUCUAUUUCAUUUGCUUUCGGAGAUAUAAGUUACUUGAGGCUAAAGAAUUCACUAGUUCAAUGUAUUGCAUUGUGAAAAAAAGUCACAAAUAUGUUUUCAUCAUUCUGUUUCAAGACUGCAGGGUCGGCGACUGAAGGGAAAACCUUCACCUAAUUUUGAAAAUGGAUGCGUGAAAAGCUAAAUAAAUCAGACAACUCAAGUACAUCAUAGAGCAAUAAAAAAAGUUCAUAUCAGACGCUACCAAAAGGUGCAUUAUGUCAACAGACACAAUGUCAAACGCGCAGCUUCACAUUUGUUUCUCUACCUCAUCAAUUUAUGAGUUUUGCUCGGUCUAAAUCGGACACAUUAUUCCUUUAAAAAAACAUGAAGUGAAAAAAAUAUGAAGUGAUAAACUUACGUUAGGACAGAGCUGUAACAUGCAAUGUUUUGUGUUGAAAUUGUGUUAUGUCAAAUUAUUCUUAAUUUGUCACCAUGAUGUAAACUUAAAUAGGAAAUUACGAAUAAGACAGUAAUAAAAAUAAGGAACA